AUUGAACGCUGGCGGCAGGCUUAACACAUGCAAGUCGAGCGGGGUGAUGGUGCUUGCACUAUCACUUAGCGGCGGACGGGUGAGUAAUGCUUAGGAAUCUGCCUAUUAGUGGGGGACAACAUCUCGAAAGGGAUGCUAAUACCGCAUACGUCCUACGGGAGAAAGCAGGGGAUCACUUGUGACCUUGCGCUAAUAGAUGAGCCUAAGUCGGAUUAGCUAGUUGGUGGGGUAAAGGCCUACCACGGCGACGAUCUGUAGCGGGUCUGAGAGGAGGAGCCGCCACACUGAGACUGGGACACGGCCCAGACUCCUACGGGAGGUAGCAGUGGGGAAUAUUGGACAAUGGGGGGAACCCUGAUCCAGCCAUGCCGCGUGUGUGAAGAAGGCCUUAUGGUUGUCAAGCACUGUAAGCGAGUAGGAGGCUCUUUUGGUUAAUACCCAAGAUGAGUGGACGUUACUCGCAGAAUAAGCACCGGCUAACUCUGUGCCAGCCGCCGCCGUAA
rnacentral:rRNA from 1 species